GCCCCCGUAGCUCAGUGGUAGAGCACUGCUCUUGUAAAGCAGGCUGCGUCGGUUCAAUCCCGACCGGGGGCUCCA
rnacentral:tRNA from 2 species